UCAUUAUUGAACGAAACUCUUGGCUGGACGGUGUUGUGCUGGCCCUUCAGGGCAAUGUGCACGCCCUCUGGUUGCUUGUUUCUUCUGUUCCACCUGUGCACUGCAUGUAGACACUCUGUGUCUAUGAUAUGUUAACACACGCGAUACAUGUUGGUUGGCAUUAUUACAUGUAUAACAAUACAACUUUCAACAAUGGAUCUCUUGGCUCUCGCAUCGAUGAAGAACACAGCGAAAUGUGAUAAGUAAUGUGAAUUGCAGAAUCCAGUGAAUCAUCGAAUCUUUGAACGCAUCUUGCGCUCCUUGGCAUUCUGAGGAGCAUGCCUGUUUGAGUGUCGUUAAACUGUCAAAACACCCAUUCACUCGAGUGUUUUGGACUUUGGGAGUACUUUGCUGGUCUGUUCAAGCCAGCUCUCCUCAAAAGCAUUAGCUUGGAGACCAUCAGUGUGAUAGACUUGUUUGCACUGAGUUCAGUGUCCCUGCUUCAGCUGUUAAACUCUUUGACCUCAAAUCAGGUAGGACUACCCGCUGAACUUAAGCAUAUCAAUAAGCGGAGGAAAAGAAACUAACAAGGAUUCCCCUAGUAACUGCGAGUGAAGCGGGAAAAGCUCAAAUUUGAAAUCUGGCAGUCUUUUUUUUCUUCUUUGGCUGUCCGAGUUGUAAUCUAGAGAAGUGCUUACCUGCGCUGGACCAUGUAUAAGUCUCCUGGAACGGAGCGUCGCAGAGGGUGAGAAUCCCGUCUUUGACAUGGACUGCCAGCGUGUUGUGGUGCGCUCUCAAAGAGUCGAGUUGUUUGGGAAUGCAGCUCUAAAUGGGUGGUAAACUCCAUCUAAAGCUAAACAUUGGCGAGAGACCGAUAGCGAACAAGUACCGUGAGGGAAAGAUGAAAAGGACUUUGGAAAGAGAGUUAAACAGUAUGUGAAAUUGUUGAAAGGGAAACGCUUGAAGUCAGUUAUGUCGGCUAGGGAUCAACCCAGCUGCAUCUGCUGGGUGAAUUUCCUAGCCUCGACAGGCCAACAUCAGUUCUGACUGCUGGAAAAGAGCAGAGGGAAUGUGGCACCUUCGGGUGUGUUAUAGCCCUUUGUCAUAUGCAGCAGCGGGGACUGAGGGACGCAGCGCGCCGCGAGGCCGGG
rnacentral:rRNA from 1 species